ACACCAACUUUAAAAUUUAAAAUAAAAAAAAUUAAAUCUCAUUUCUCAGCUCCUGUAAUCGUAAAAUUUAUACAUUCUUCCGUCGCUUUCAAUCAAAUCUUAAAUAAAUAAAGAAAAAGAUCUCACCAUCAACCCUUUGCCUCGUAAUAUCAGACAACUACCUACAGGAAUGGCUUUACUUUUGUCACGUUACCUCCGCUUCCACUUCAGAGAUU
rnacentral:lncRNA from 1 species